UGGGGGAUAUUGCACAAUGGGCGAAAGCCUGAUGCAGCGACGCCGCGUGGGGGAUGAAGGCCUUCGGGUUGUAAACUUCUUUUGCUCUGAACAAGGCAUGCUAAUGGGUGUGUUGAGUGUAGGGGUUGAUUAGCGCCGGCUAACUACGUGCCAGCAGCCGCGGUAAUACGUAGGGCGCGAGCGUUGUCCGGAAUUAUUGGGCGUAAAGGGCUUGUAGGUGGCUGGUUGCGUCUGUCGUGAAAGCUCAUGGCUUAACUGUGGGUUUGCGGUGGGUACGGGCUGGCUUGAGUGCAGUAGGGGAGGCUGGAAGUCCUGGUGUAGCGGUGGAAUGCGCAGAUAUCAGGAGGAAUACCGGUGGCGAAGGCGGGUCUCUGGGCUGUUACUGACACUGAGGAGCGAAAGAAUGGGGAGCGAACAGG
rnacentral:rRNA from 1 species